CAUCUUAUAAACUUCUCAAGCACCACAACACCACACCAUCUCUCUUCUCUCUAAUUUUUCUUUUUUGCCCCUCUUCCAAAAUGAAUAGAGAUGAGACUAAUAACAAUGACCAAAAAACACCACUUCUCCCAGUUCAUAGGUCACAAAGCAUGAAUUCAAUUAUUCGAUCUACUUUUUCACUAAAAAAUUUAUUCACCCUUUUAGGACCUUUACUAUGUGCAAUUAUUUGCUUAUUUGUGAAAAUGGAUAAUGCUCCAACUACUAGUACAAAUAUGUUGGGAGUUCUUGCAUGGAUAUUUACAUGGUGGUUAGCAGAGGCGGUACCGAUGCCAAUAACUUCCAUGUCGCCAUUAUUUCUCUUCCCCUUGUUCGGAAUUUCGUCGGCUGACGACGUUGCACAUUCGUAUAUGGAUGAUGUUAUUGCACUUGUACUUGGAAGUUUCAUACUUGCUCUUGCUGUUGAACAUUAUAAUAUCCACAGAAGAUUGGCCUUAAAUAUAACGCUAUUAUUCUGUGGGGACCCACUGAAUCCACCGCUUCUCCUCUUGGGGAUCUGCGCCACUACAUUCUUCGUCAGCAUGUGGUUGCACAACGUGGCAACCACCGUGAUGAUGAUGCCGGUGGCCACCGGUAUCUUAUCCCGAUUGUCAUCCGGUGGCGGUAGCAGCGGCCACCGGAAUCAACCGAAUAAUUCGGACGAGCUAGUCACCAAAUUUUGCAAAGCGGUUGUUUUAGGGGUUGUAUACUCUGCAUCAAUUGGAGGAAUGAGUACUUUGACCGGGACAGGUGUCAACUUGAUAUUGGUUGGGAUGUGGAGGAGUUAUUUUCCUCAAGAAGCGCCUUUAAGUUUCAACACUUGGUCUUUCUUUGCUUUUCCUUUGGCUUUGGUGAUAUUUUUGGCAUUGUGGGGUACGCUUUGCUUAUUGUACUGUAGGAAGGGAUCAAGUAGAUCACUUUCUGCUUAUUUGGACAAAGCUCAUUUGAAGAGGGAGCUUGAAUUAUUAGGUCCCAUGGCUUUUGCUGAAAAGAUGAUUUUAACAGUUUUUUCGAUUCUGAUAGUGUUGUGGAUGACAAGAAGUAUUACUGAAGAUAUUCCUGGAUGGGGAUCCCUCUUUGGUGGACGUGCUGGUGAUGGAACUGUUAGUGUGAUGAUGGCAACCUUAUUGUUCAUAAUUCCAAACAAGAAGCAGCCAGGGGAGAAGCUAAUGGAUUGGAACAAAUGCAAGAAAUUGCCAUGGAACAUAAUUCUUUUAUUAGGGGCAGGUUUUGCCAUAGCUGAUGGAGUUAAGUCAAGUGGUCUAGCUGAUGUACUCUCAAGAGCCCUAGAUUUCUUGGAAAACGCUCCCUACUUAGCCAUCGCACCAGCUGUCUGUUUAAUAAGUGCGACCCUCACCGAGGUCAUCACGUCGAACAAUGCCACGACGACAAUUAUGAUCCCAUUGCUCGUCGAGAUCGCUAAAAAUAUGCGUAUUCAUCCUCUCCUACUCAUGAUCCCGGGAGCCAUUGGCGCACAGUUAGCUUUCUUGCUCCCCACGGCGACGCCCUCGAAUGUUGUAGGGUUUACUACAGGGCAUGUUGAUGUUAGAGACAUGAUCCAAGCUGGAUUUCCAUUGAAAGUUGCUGGAAUUGUUGCUCUCUCCUUAUUGAUGCCUACCCUUGGACCUAUUGUGUUUGGAACUGAUAAACCUGUGAAUAAUGUAUCGAGGAAUUAUUUGCAUUGGUGUGGCUAGUUUAUUUCGUUAAAGAUGGAAAUAUAGAGGGACACAUAAUGCAAGAGGAAGUUGUAUGCAUCAAGAUUGACAGUAUAAAAAUAUUUGCACAAUCAUCUUGAUGUCGAGCUAUCUACAUGAUUUAUCCUAAGAGGAAUGAAUCAUCGUGGAAUAGAAGAAGUAAUAGUUGUGACAUAUCAUAUUUUGUUUGCCUCUUAGCUAUUUUCUUUUUCAUAUGUUGAAGUAGUAUUGUAUAUAGGCUUUUUUGGUCCAAGAAAUAUAUAUGCAGUAGUAUAAUUCAUAUUUAAAAUUUGUAAUUCAAUUUAAUAAU